GACGAACGCUGGCGGCGUGCUUAACACAUGCAAGUCGAACGAAGCUUGAUUACGGAUUCUUCGGAUGAAGUAUGAUAUGACUGAGUGGCGGACGGGUGAGUAACGCGUGAGUAACCUGCCCUUCAGAGGGGGAUAGCGUUUGGAAACGAACGGUAAUACCGCAUAAUGUAUUUUGACCGCAUGAUCGAAAUACCAAAGAUUUAUCGCUGAAGGAUGGACUCGCGUCUGAUUAGGUAGUUGGUGGGGUAACGGCCUACCAAGCCGACGAUCAGUAGCCGGACUGAGAGGUUGAUCGGCCACAUUGGGACUGAGACACGGCCCAGACUCCUACGGGAGGCAGCAGAGGGGAAUAUUGCACAAUGGGCGCAAGCCUGAUGCAGCAACGCCGCGUGAAGGAAGACGGUUUUCGGAUUGUAAACUUCUGUUCUUAGUGAAGAAUAAUGACGGUAGCUAAGGAGCAAGCCACGGCUAACUACGUG
rnacentral:rRNA from 1 species